rnacentral:rRNA from 1 species
UACGUAGGUGGCAAGCGUUGUCCGGAUUUGCUGGGUGUAAAGGGCGUGUAGCCGGGUUGACAAGUCAGAUGUGAAAUCCUGCGGCUUAACCGCAGAACUGCAUUUGAAACUGUUGAUCUUGAGUACUGGAGAGGCAGACGGAAUUCCUAGUGUAGCGGUGAAAUGCGUAGAUAUUAGGAGGAACACCAGUGGCGAAGGCGGUCUGCUGGACAGCAACUGACGGUGAGGCGCGAAAGCGUGGGGAGCAAACAGG